UGCUGGUCGUGAAGCGCCCUCUCUCAGAGCACUGGGCCCUGCCGGGGGUAAGCA
ensembl:snoRNA